rnacentral:lncRNA from 1 species
GUCAUGCCAUGACACGUGUGUUGUUGUGUCGUGUGUUCUGGUGUCAUGUAUGUCGCGAUGUUAUUUAUGUCUCCAUGUCAUACGUGUCCCUAUGUCAUACAUGUUCCUAUGUCACAUGUGUGUCCAUGUCAUGCCAUAUCACGUGUUCCCAUGUCACGUGCCCCCCCAUGUCACAUGUGUCCUUGUGUCAUGUGUUCCCAUGUCACAUCAUGUGUGUCCCUGUUACACGUGUCUCCAUGUCACGUCACAUCACGUGUGUCUCCAUGUCCCGUGUGUCCCUGUGCCGCGUGUCCCCGUGUCAUGUCAUGUCACGUGUGCCUGUGUCACGUGUUCCUAUGUCACGUGUGUCCCCCUUUCAUGUGUGUCGUUGUGUCGUGUCCCCAUGUCACGCGUGUCCCCACGUUGCACGUGUUACUUUGUCACGUAUGUUCCAUGUGAUAUCACGUGUGACCCCAUGUUACAUGUGUCUGUCAUACAGCAUCACGUGUGUUUUUGUGUCACAUGUUUUCAUCUCACGUGUGCUCUUGUGCCGUGUGUUCCCAUGUAGCGUCAUGUAUGUUCGCAUGUCACGUGUGUCCCCUUGUUGUGUUACGUUAUGCGUGUUUCCGUGUCACGUGUGCCCUCGUGUCACAUGUCCCCAUGUCACGCGUGUCGUUGUGUCACGUGUUCCCAUGUCACGUGUGUGCCCACGUUACUCGUGUCCCCGUGUCACGUGUCCCCAUGUCAUGUCACAUCACGUGUGUCCCCACGUCAUGCGUGUCUCGGUGUGACGUGUGUCCUUGCGUCACGCGUCCCCAUGUCACAUCACACGUGUGUCCACGUGUCACCCCCACGUGUCCCCGUUGUGUGCCCCAUGUCUGCAUGUCACAGCCGUGUCCCCGCAGUGGGCGGGGCCUGAGAGAAGGGGGCGUGGCUUAUGGGUAUUCACGAUGGGGGCGGGGCUUGUGGGUGGGCGUGGCCUAUUGGUGGGCGUGGCUUAUGGGAACAAUGAUGGCGGCGUGGCUUAAGGUGGGGGCGGGGUUUAAGGGAGCAAAGGUUAGGGGGCGUGGCUUUGCGGAAUGGGCGUGGCUUAUGGGAGUAAGCAUCACGUGGGCGUGGCUUAUGGAGGGGGCGGGGCUUAGGGGAG